rnacentral:tRNA from 1 species
UUGCGGAAGUAGUUCAGUGGUAGAAUACAACCUUGCCAAGGUUGGGGUCGCGGGUUCGAAUCCCGUCUUCCGCUC